rnacentral:lncRNA from 1 species
GUGAUCGAUUAACAUCACCCCAAGUUCUUACAUCCUCUUUGGAAAGCACCACAUCAGUAACGGGCUUUCUUGCUAUGGAGGAAAGAUCACUCAAGUGCUUACGUGAGAAAGAGGAAGAUGUGCCAACUUCUGUAGCAAUGGAGAAAAACAGCGAUAAGGAUCCAGCUACUCCCAUAUCAGGAGCAGAUCUGACCGAGAAGGAAUUCUGCCCCAUGAUGGAGGAACACAAAACUGCAUUUCAAAACAUUUUGAAGCAAGACCCGGAGGUGUACCAGGAAAAGAAAAAUAAUGAGCAGAGUGAGGAAGCACCAGCUAUGGUUCCCAGUAGGAAAGGUAAGAGGUUUUUGCGGAACACAUCUGUGUAACUCACUGGAGUGCAUGCCUUGGUCACCAGGGUCAAGAGCUGUG